CCCUUAGAUGUUCUGGGCCGCACGCGUGCUACACUGAGUGGAUCAGCGGGUCAGGUUGCGCGAAAGCGUUUCCUAAUCUUUAAAUCCGCUCGUGAUGGGGAUUGACGGUUGCAAUUUUCUGUCAUGAACGAGGAAUACCUUGUAAGCGCGGGUCAUCAUCCCGCGCUGAAUACGUCCCUGCCCUUUGUACACACCGCCCGUCGCUACUACCGAUUGAAUGGUUUAGUGAGAUCUUCGGAUUGGCCACCUUGGUGCCUUCGCGGGUCCAUGGCGUGCCGAAAAGUUGUUCAAACUUGAUCAUUUAGAGGAAGUAAAAGUCGUAACA
rnacentral:rRNA from 1 species